GACGAACGCUGGCGGCGUGCUUAACACAUGCAAGUCGAACGGAAAGGCCUGCUUUCCCUUGUGGAUUGCGGGUACUCGAGUGGCGAACGGGUGAGUAACACGUGAGUGAUCUGCCCCCAACUUGGGUAUAAGCCUGGGAAACUGGGUCUAAUUCCCGAUAGGACUGCAGGGUGGUGCCUGUGGUGGAAAACGAUUUUCUAGUGGUUGGGGAUGAGCUCGCGGCCUAUCAGCUUGUUGGUGGGGUAAUGGCCUACCAAGGCGGCGACGGGUAGCCGGCCUGAGAGGGUGGACGGCCACAUUGGGACUGAGAUACGGCCCAGACUCCUACGGGAGGCAGCAGUGGGGAAUAGUGCACAAUGGGCGGAAGCCUGAUGCAGCGACGCCGCGUGGGGGAUGACGGGCUUCGGGUUGUAAACUCCUUUCGACCGCGAGGAAGCCACCUGGUUGGAAGGGUGGUGACGGUAGUGGUAGAAGAAGCACCGGCUAACUACGUG
rnacentral:rRNA from 1 species